GUGCUCACUUCAGCAGCACAUACACUAAAAUUGGAACCACACAGAGAUUAGUAUGGCCCCUGUACAAGGAUGGCAUGCAAAUUAAUGAAUUGUUCUGUAGUUUU
rnacentral:snRNA from 1 species